rnacentral:rRNA from 1 species
CCACACUGGAACUGAGACACGGCCCAGACUCCUACGGGAGGCAGCAGUGGGGAAUAUUGGACGAUGGGCGCAAGCCUGAUCCAGCCAUGCCGCGUGUGUGAAGAAGGCCUUAGGGUUGUAAAGCACUUUCAGUGGGGAGGAAGGGUGUUGUGUUAAUAGUACAGCACUUUGACGUUACCCACAGAAGAAGCACCGGCUAACUCCGUGCCAGCAGCCGCGGUAAUACGGAGGGUGCAAGCGUUAAUCGGAAUUACU